CAGUAGCCGCGGUAAUACGAAGGGUGCAAGCGUUAAUCGGAUUUACUGGGCGUAAAGCGUGCGUAGGCGGCUUUUUAAGUCGGAUGUGAAAUCCCUGAGCUUAACUUAGGAAUUGCAUUCGAUACUGGGAAGCUAGAGUAUGGGAGAGGAUGGUAGAAUUCCAGGUGUAGCGGUGAAAUGCGUAGAGAUCUGGAGGAAUACCGAUGGCGAAGGCAGCCAUCUGGCCUAAUACUGACGCUGAGGUACGAAAGCAUGGGGAGCAAACAGGAUUAGAUACCCCGGUAGUCCCUGUCUCUUAUAC
rnacentral:rRNA from 1 species